rnacentral:rRNA from 1 species
GAUGAACGCUGGCGGCGUGCCUAAUACAUGCAAGUCGAGCGAACGGACGAGAAGCUUGCUUUUCUGAUGUUAGCGGCGGACGGGUGAGUAACACGUGGAUAACCUACCUAUAAGACUGGGAUAACUUCGGGAAACCGGAGCUAAUACCGGAUAAUAUUUUGAACCGCAUGAUUCAAAAGUGAAAGACGGUCUUGCUGUCACUUAUAGAUGGAUCCGCGCUGCAUUAGCUAGUUGGUAAGGUAACGGCUUACCAAGGCAACGAUGCAUAGCCGACCUGAGAGGGUGAUCGGCCACACUGGAACUGAGACACGGUCCAGACGCCUACGGGAGGCAGCAGUAGGGAAUCUUCCGCAAUGGGCGAAAGCCUGACGGAGCAACGCCGCGUGAGUGAUGAAGGUAUUCGGAUCGUAAAACUCUGUUAUUAGGGAAGAACAGAUGUGUAAGUAACUGUGCACAUCUUGACGGUACCUAAUCAGAAAGACGCGGCUAACUACGGG